rnacentral:ncRNA from 1 species
GUCGUCCAGGCGCACUGGGCGCCGAGAGGGAAGAGGCUCCGGUUGAAGCAGAGUUCCUGCACGAGAAAGGCGAACCAGUGCGAACUCAGGGACGGUCAGCUCGAACCCGUGGAGCUCGUGCCAGAGACGGAUCGCAGCGUGGCGAUUACGCUAUGUGGACGCACAGAAUUGGUCAAGGACCAAGGUUGGCUCGAUAGAAACACAGAAGGACGCCUGUGUGUGUGGGGAAGCGAUUUGGUGUGGGGAUAUUGUUUUGCUCGCACCACUUGAGGAACGCGCGGAUAGAGCUGCCAUAUCCUAUAAUGACCGAACAAGUGAAUGUUGCAAAAUUCUUUGAUGAAUCGUAGUAAGGGGUGAAAUGCUGAUCUAAUUUGGUUGAUAGCUGGUAUUCUGCGAAACCUAUUUAGGUAGGUUGUUUAUAAUGAAAUGGUGACAUAAAAAUCAUUUUUAUAAAUUAUUUUUUGUACAGCACUGAUCAUCAUAUGUUAUAUUUAUAUGUUACUAUACAAGGAAACUUUUAUUCUAACAUGGUCGGUAAACUUUUUAAAGUAUCCGACAAAAUUUAUAGACUAAAUUGAGGGAUUCUAAAUUCUACCAUUGAUGGUUAACCUCGGAAUAAAAAUAAUUGAUUAUAAACGUACAGUCUAUUCUUGAUAAGGUGGAUAGACAAAAGGAAAACAGCCCAGAACAAAAGUUAAGGUCCCUAAAUAUUAUUUAGUGAAAAUAAGAAUGUUUUUUUUUCUAACACAACCAUUAAGUAGGCUUGGAGGCAGCCAUCUUUUGAUGAUAGUGUAAUAACUCAGUGGUCUAAACGCCUUCCGGGCGAUAUAAUUGAUUAUAUUGGAAAAAGCGUCUACAAUUUAUUGGGUCUCAGAUAAUAUACCUACACUUUGUCUAUUUUAUUGAAAAUACUUUAAGGCCGAAAGCCUCCUUUUUUAUUAUGUCUAAUAAAAAAGCAAAUCCCCUAGGGAGGGCGAAGCCUCCCCCCAUCACUUUUUAAAAAGAAAUCGCCGAAGGCGUUGUGAUUCUUUGCUUUUUUAUUCUAUAUAAUCGGCGAAGCCGUAAAGUUAACAUUUAACUCCAUCGGGGAGGUCAUGAUGGAGCUUGCCAUGCUGACUUGCAGCUCCCACCACUGCUGAGGGGGCAUUGACUGACUGAGCGGGCAGGCGUGUGAGGGAAGAGGUCGUAGGUGAAGCAGAAUAUCGGCGCAGGCUACCUCGUCUGCCGCCGCGACGGAGAGGGGAGGUGCAGGGGCGAGAAGAUGGCGGC